rnacentral:rRNA from 1 species
UACGUAGGGUGCAAGCGUUGUCCGGAAUUAUUGGGCGUAAAGAGCUCGUAGGCGGUCUGUCGCGUCUGCUGUGAAACUCGGGGCUUAACCCCGAGCCUGCAGUGGAUACGGGCAGACUAGAGGUAGGUAGGGGAGAAUGGAAUUCCCGGUGUAGCGGUGAAAUGCGCAGAUAUCGGGAGGAACACCGGUGGCGAAGGCGGUUCUCUGGGCCUUACCUGACGCUGAGGAGCGAAAGCGUGGGGAGCGAACAGG